GACGAACGCUGGCGGCGUGCUUAACACAUGCAAGUCGAACGGAAAGGCCCUGCUUUUGUGGGGUGCUCGAGUGGCGAACGGGUGAGUAACACGUGAGUAACCUGCCCUUGACUUUGGGAUAACUUCAGGAAACUGGGGCUAAUACCGGAUAGGAGCUCCUGCUGCAUGGUGGGGGUUGGUAAGUUUCGGCGGUUGGGGAUGGACUCGCGGCUUAUCAGCUUGUUGGGGGGGUAGUGGCGUACCAAGGCUUUGACGGGUAGCCGGCCUGAGAGGGUGACCGGCCACAUUGGGACUGAGAUACGGCCCAGACUCCUACGGGAGGCAACAGUGGGGAAUAUUGCACAAUGGGCGGAAGCCUGAUGCAGCAACGCCGCGUGCGGGAUGACGGCCUUCGGGUUGUAAACCGAUUUCGCCUGUGACGAAGCGUGAGUGACGGUAAUGGGUAAAGAAGCACCGGCUAACUACGUG
rnacentral:rRNA from 1 species